CCUACGGGCGGCAGCAGUAGGGAAUCUUUCACAAUGGGCGAAAGCCUGAUGGAGCAACGCCGCGUGCAGUAUGACGGCCUUCGGGUUGUAAACUGCUUUUAUAAGCGAUAAAUAUGAUGGUAACUUAUGACUCAUGCUCGGCUAACUACGUGCCAGCAGCCGCGGUCAUACGUAGGAUCCGAGCAUUAUCCGGAUUGACUGGGUGUAAAGAGUUGCGUAGGUGGGAUAAUUAGUAGCUAGUGAAAUAUGGUGGCUCAACCAUUCAGACUAUUAGCUAAACUGUUAAGCUCGAGACCGUUAGGGGUAACUGGAAUUUCUAGUGUAGGAGUGAAAUCCGUAGAUAUGAGAAGGAACACCAAUAGCGUAGGCAGGUUACUGGGACGGUUCUGACACUAAGGCACGAAAGCGUAGGGAGCAAACGGGAUUAGAUACCCUUGUAGUC
rnacentral:rRNA from 1 species